GGCGUAAAGGGUACGUAGGCUGUAGAAUAAGUCAGAUGUGAAAUACCAGGGCUCAACCUUGGUGCUGCGUCUGAUACUGUUCUACUAGAGUUGCUGAGAGGGAAGCGGAAUUCCUGGUGUAGGGGUGAAAUCUAUAGAUAUCAGGAAGAACAUCUGUAGCGAAGGCGGCUUUCUGGCAGUUAACUGACGCUGAUGUACGAAAGGUAGGGUAGCAAACAGGAUUAGAGACCCUGGUAGUCCUACCCGUAAACGUUGUAUACUAGGUGGUGGGAGUAUUGAUCCUUUCGCUGCCGUAGCUAACGCAUUAAGUAUACCGCCUGGGGAGUAUGCCGGCAACGGUGAAACUCAAAGGAAUUGACGGGGGCCCGCACAAGCAGUGGAGCAUGUUGUUUAAUUCGAUGAUACGCGAGGAACCUUACCAGGUCUUGACAUAUAGAUGAUUAUGGUGGAGACAUCAUAUCUUUUCGGAGCAUCUAUACAGGUGCUGCAUGGUUGUCGUCAGCUCGUGCCGUGAGGUGUUGGGUUAAGUCCCGCAACGAGCGCAACCCCUAUUCUUUGUUGCUAACAUGUAAUGAUGAGCACUCGAAGGAAACUGCCGGUGACAAAUCGGAGGAAGGUGGGGAUGACGUCAAAUCAUCACGGCCCUUACGACCUGGGCUACAAACGUGCUACAAUGGGUGGUACAAAGAGUUGCGAAACAGUGAUGUGGAGCUAAUCUCAAAAAGCCAUCCUCAGUUCGGAUUGGAGUCUGCAACUCGACUCCAUGAAGCUG
rnacentral:rRNA from 1 species